GGCGCUAUCGUCUAGUCUGGCCUAGGACGCCAGGUUCUCAUCCUGGUAACGCGGGUUCGAAUCCCGCUGGCGCUA
rnacentral:tRNA from 1 species